UCAGCCCUUCUGGGACCCA
rnacentral:misc_RNA from 1 species